rnacentral:rRNA from 1 species
CGAGGCACUACGGUGCUGAAGCAACAAAUGCCCUGCUUCCAGGAAAAGCCUCUAAGCAUCAGGUAACAUCAAAUCGUACCCCAAACCGACACAGGUGGUCAGGUAGAGAAUACCAAGGCGCUUGAGAGAACUCGGGUGAAGGAACUAGGCAAAAUGGUGCCGUAACUUCGGGAGAAGGCACGCUGACACGUAGGUGAAGUGAUUUACUCACGGAGCUGAAGUCAGUCGAAGAUACCAGCUGGCUGCAACUGUUUAUUAAAAACACAGCACUGUGCAAACACGAAAGUGGACGUAUACGGUGUGACGCCUGCCCGGUGCCGGAAGGUUAAUUGAUGGGGUCAGCGCAAGCGAAGCUCCUGAUCGAAGCCCCGGUAAACGGCGGCCGUAACUAUAACGGUCCUAAGGUAGCGAAAUUCCUUGUCGGGUAAGUUCCGACCUGCACGAAUGGCGUAAUGAUGGCCAGGCUGUCUCCACCCGAGACUCAGUGAAAUUGAACUCGCUGUGAAGAUGCAGUGUACCCGCGGCAAGACGGAAAGACCCCGUGAACCUUUACUAUAGCUUGACACUGAACAUUGAGCCUUGAUGUGUAGGAUAGGUGGGAGGCUUUGAAGUGUGGACGCCAGUCUGCAUGGAGCCGACCUUGAAAUACCACCCUUUAAUGUUUGAUGUUCUAACGUGGACCCGUAAUCCGGGUUGCGGACAGUGUCUGGUGGGUAGUUUGACUGGGGCGGUCUCCUCCUAAAGAGUAACGGAGGAGCACGAAGGUUGGCUAAUCCUGGUCGGACAUCAGGAGGUUAGUGCAAUGGCAUAAGCCAGCUUGACUGCGAGCGUGACGGCGCGAGCAGGUGCGAAAGCAGGUCAUAGUGAUCCGGUGGUUCUGAAUGGAAGGGCCAUCGCUCAACGGAUAAAAGGUACUCCGGGGAUAACAGGCUGAUACCGCCCAAGAGUUCAUAUCGACGGCGGUGUUUGGCACCUCGAUGUCGGCUCAUCACAUCCUGGGGCUGAAGUAGGUCCCAAGGGUAUGGCUGUUCGCCAUUUAAAGUGGUACGCGAGCUGGGUUUAGAACGUCGUGAGACAGUUCGGUCCCUAUCUGCCGUGGGCGCUGGAGAACUGAGGGGGGCUGCUCCUAGUACGAGAGGACCGGAGUGGACGCAUCACUGGUGUUCGGGUUGUCAUGCCAAUGGCACUGCCCGGUAGCUAAAUGCGGAAGAGAUAAGUGCUGAAAGCAUCUAAGCACGAAACUUGCCCCGAGAUGAGUUCUCCCUGAGACUUAGAGUCUCCUGAAGGAACGUUGAAGACGACGACGUUGAUAGGCCGGGUGUGUAAGCGCAGCGAUGCGUUGAGCUAACCGGUACUAAUGAACCGUGAGGCUUAACCUUACAACGCCGAAG